CAGGUGGAGGUGGGGGAUCGGAGGAGCGGAGGAGGAGGGUGCCGGCGCGGGGCGCGGGCCGCGGGCGUCCGAAGCCCAGCUUCCCCCCGGGGUGCCGCGCGAGGCCGGGCGCCCAGGUGGGGCGGUAGCUGUCGAGGGGGCGGGGAGGGGGGUGUCCCGACCCUGCCCGGCCCAGCUCUGCCCGGCAGCCGGGCCGGAACAGCUGCGGACAGUCCCACAAGCUGUUUUCCUCGUGGCGACCAUUCAGCAAAACGCACGAUCCUUUCUCAAAGAUUUAAAUUUCGCGGAUGAAUUACCAUACACCGGUUGCUUAGCAACUAAAUUCAAGCAGGGCUGAGAAUAUGCAAGCUUUUUGUAUUCUCAUUAAUAAAAAUGCCACUCUGACACAGCAACCCGACUUUGGAUCACUGCAACUUCUGUAAAAGCCGUAGGAGAAUACAAACCGGUCCUGCCAUUUAAUUACAGAUCAGAAUGGCUUGAAACGCGAUGUUUUGUUCAUCUAUCUUCCUAAAAGCGAUGUAAAAAAUAACGGCUUUUCAAGAGCAGUAGUAAAUUCUUCUUCUUUUUUUUUAAUGGAGUUGUCUAUCGGGGUUACUGAUAAUUGUCAACUGAAACUUUUGGAAACAGGUUGAAAUUUCCCCCUUCGUCAACAUUAAUGCUCAAUCCCUCAGCCCACAGCCUCUGACCCUGCGCUCCGUUCACAGCCUAAUAAUUACAAUUACUGCCCUGAUUCUGGAACAGCACGGGCCUCGGGAGCCCUGGAACUUAAAGGACAGUUGGCACAGCAAUCAACAAGGCCCGUGGCUGGAAAAACACCUAAGAACUUGAGGACUUGUGGGAGUUUCGUGGGGAGGCUGAGAGGUCGCCUGAGCGGCUCAGGCUCCGGGCUUCCAGAGACAACUUCUUGGAGGGCACAGGGGAGAAAGGGCAAUCGCCCUCUGCUCCACGUUUGCUGAUUUUCCGUCCUGGGCCUGGCCUCCUCUGCCGGGAAUUUGGUCGCCGCCUCCCCGUGCGGACGGUGGAGUGGAGAGGGCUGAGCCCCGGACCUGCUGGCCCACCGUCUCUGGGCCCCAAGCCCGAGGGCCCUGGAGGAAGAACGCAGGUGGAGCUGGAGCCACGGGUCUCCAAGGGUUUUCAGCAUUACCAGAGUAACUGGAGAGAGAACACACCCCACCUUGAGCCCCUCAAUUCUGCAUCCAAGCCAAAUAGCCACCACCAACAAUUACACUUUGCAUAACUUGACACGGCCAGAAAUGAAGACUCCGUUAUUUACCAGAAGUAGAAAUAAACUUCACUGAAAGAAAUAAACGCAACUUUGACCAUGGGAUACCUACUGGAGAACCCUCUGAAAACAUCACCUCUGUCUUCCCACCCCCUUUACUGGGGUGGAGUGCUGUAAAAAUCCAACGCAGCAGAAUUUUGAAAGAGCCUGAUCACCUGGAGCGGGUUGGGAGUCCUCAACUCCAAUCAUUUGUAAUAAAGUCUUUAAUAGUCAUAAUUGGUAUUUAAUUGCUUGAUCUGAUUGGUGCUUUAUUCCUGACCCGAUUUAGUUUCACCCGGAGGUACAGGUGGUCCAGGAUCAGUGGAGGGAGGCCAUUUGCAACUUUUUCAAGCAAAAGGGAAAGUACUUCUGUUAUGUUUGCAGACAUGUGUCUCACAUAUUUUCCCCCUGCCUUUUGUAAACUAAGAAUAAACAUUACAGAUCUGGGUUUUAAUUUAUCCAGAUGGAAUCAUAAAGUACCUAGGAGGUUAUACAUACAUAUACACAUACACACACACACUGGAAUUGAGGACACACGGCUGCUCGCACUGAAAGGAAGGAAGAAACUCAAUACUGAAGCUGAAAGAAAUGAACCGCCAGCCGAAUCGAGUAACUGAGCAAGUUCACUUUAUUCCUUCGUAGGAAGAGGGUGCGCGGCGGCGAGGGCAAGUUGCCCCGGGUCUUUGAACAGGGACAUCGCGAGGCGGGUCAGACCUUCCCACCAGCGGCCCCUGGACCCUCAUCACCCCCUGGUCCCUAACACACACACACGCACACACACAC